GAUGAACGCUGGCGGCGUGUCUAAGGCAUGCAAGUCGAACGAGUGACUUUCGGUAGCAAUACUGGAAGUCGCUAGUGGCAAACGGGUGCGUAACACAUUGGCAAUCUGCCUCGAAGUCGGGUAUAACUCUCCGAAAGGAGAGCUAAUUCCACGAUGGUCAUGCGGGGACAAAAGUCAUUCGCAUGUAAAGUGCAAAACACACUUCGAGAGGAGCCUAUGGCCUAUCAGCUUGUUGGUGAGGUAAUGGCUCACCAAGGCUAUGACGGGUAGGGGAUGUGAGAGCAUGAUCCCCCUCACUGGGACUGAGACACUGCCCAGACACCUACGGGUGGCUGCAGUCGAGAAUAUUCGGCAAUGGACGAAAGUCUGACCGAGCGACGCCGCGUGCAGGAUGAAGGGUUUCGGCCUGUAAACUGCUUUUUUUAGGGACGAAUCUAUGACGGUACCUAAAGAAUAAGAGGUUGCUAACUCUGUGCCAGCAGCAGCGGUAAUACAGAGACCUCAAGCGUUAUCCGGAUUUACUGGGCGUAAAGGGUCCGCAGGUGGUCGUGCGCGUCGAUGGUUAAAUGUACGGGCUCAACUCGUACGCCGCCGUCGAUACGGCAUGACUAGAGGCCGGAAGAGGUAAGCGGAAUUACAGGUGUAGUAGUAAUAUGCGUUAAUAUCUGUAAGAACACCAAAAGCGUAGGCAGCUUACUGGAACGCGCCUGACACUCAGGGACGAAAGCGUGGGGAGCGAAAGGGAUUAGAUACCCCUGUAGUCCACGCCCUAAACGAUGGAUGCUAGAUAUCGGGAGUAUCGACCCUCCCGGUGUCGGUCAAAAAAGCUAACGCAUUAAGCAUCCCGCCUGGGGAGUACGGUCGCAAGACUAAACUCAAAGGAAUAGACGGGGACCCGCACAAGCAGAGGAGCAUGUGGUUUAAUUCGACGGUAAGCGAGGAACCUUACCAAGGUUUGAAAUGUAGCUGCAAGCCGCUAGAAACAGUGGCCGCCUUCGAGGGUGCUACACAGGUGCUGCAUGGUUGCCGUCAGCUCGUGUCGUGAGAUGUACCGUUAAGUCGGGUAACGAGCGCAACCCCUAUCCCGUGUUGAAUGUUCACGGGAGACCGCCUCGGAUAACGGGGAGGAAGGUGGGGAUGACGUCAAAUCAGCAUGGCUCUUACACCUUGGGCUACACACGUGCUACAAUGGUCAGGACAAUGGGUUGCCAAGCCGUAAGGCGGAGCUAAUCCCAACAAACCUGGCCCCAGUUCGGAUUGAGGGCUGCAAUUCGCCCUCAUGAAGUUGGAUUUGCUAGUAACGGCCGAUCAGCCACGCGGCCGUGAAUACGUUCUCGGGUC
rnacentral:rRNA from 1 species